UCUCUGCUAGCUCAGUUGGUAAAGAAUCUGCCUGCAAUGCAGGAGACCCUGGUUUGAUCCCUGGGCUGGAAA
rnacentral:tRNA from 1 species